rnacentral:rRNA from 1 species
UACGAAGGGUGCAAGCGUUAAUCGGAAUUACUGGGCGUAAAGGGUGCGUAGGCGGUUGUUUAAGUCUGUCGUGAAAUCCCCGGGCUCAACCUGGGAAUUGCGAUGGAUACUGGGCAGCUAGAGUGUGUCAGAGGAUGGUGGAAUUCCCGGUGUAGCGGUGAAAUGCGUAGAGAUCGGGAGGAACAUCAGUGGCGAAGGCGGCCAUCUGGGACAACACUGACGCUGAAGCACGAAAGCGUGGGGAGCAAACAGG